CCUUAGCCCCGAUUGCAACGGCAUCCUUUUGCGGAGCGAAGCGGAGCAAAAGAUAUAGUGGAAAGCGGGAAAUAGC
rnacentral:sRNA from 1 species